rnacentral:lncRNA from 1 species
AGGGGUCAAUGCAAAGGAGCCUGUGCAUGUCACUUUCACUUUAUAGCCAUUAGGAAGAGUGACAAGAUAUGGCAGAGUUAAAGGUGUGAUGUUAGAAAGUAAAUGUUUAUCAUGUGUCAUGUGAUUAGAGGCACCUGAAUCUAUAAUCCAGGUGACAGAUUUAAUAUUAGUAAGUAAACAACGUUUGGAAUCAGAAAUAGGGCUCUUAGUUAACAUAGUACCAGCAAAGUUUGCAGCAUAUGUGGGAGGAGGAGUUUGAGCAGUGGAGUCCCCAAACUUGGUCUGAUGUAAUAAAGUCAUCAACUGGUCAUAAUCUUGUCUGCUCAACCCUGGUAUCACAGAGGUCUGGCCAUCUAUUCUUGCAACAGAUUGAUGGCUAUCAGGAGGAUUCCCUUGUGUCUGCUCAACCCUGGUAUCACAGAGGUCUGGCCAUCUAUUCUUGCAACAGAUUGAUG